UACGGGGGGGGUAAGCGUUGUUCGGAAUUACUGGGCGUAAAGGGCUCGUAGGCGGCCAACUAAGUCAGACGUGAAAUCCCUCAGCUUAACUGGGGAACUGCGUCUGAUACUGGAUGGCUUGGAUCCGGAAGAGGGAUGCGGAAUUCCAGGUGUAGCGGUGAAAUGCGUAGAUAUCUGGAGGAACACCGGUGGCGAAGGCGACAUCCUGGACCGGCAUUGACGCUGAGGCGCGAAAGCCAGGGGAGCAAACGGG
rnacentral:rRNA from 1 species